rfam:Toxocara canis scaffold445, whole genome shotgun sequence.
GGCCUCGUGGCCCAAUGGAUAAGGCGUCGGACUUCGGAUCCGAAGAUUGCAGGUUCGAGUCCUGCCGGGGUCG